rnacentral:rRNA from 1 species
ACUGGGGUGAAGUCGUAACAAGGUAGCCGUUGGGGAACCAGCGGCUGGAUCACCUCCUUAAACGAUAGCCGAGUCCUGGCAAGCGUUCACACGCAUUACUUG